GAUGAACGCUAGCGGCAGGCUUAACACAUGCAAGUCGAGGGGUAACAGAGGUAGCUUGCUACUUGCUGACGACCGGCGCACGGGUGCGUAACGCGUAUAGAAGCUACCUUAUACUGGGGAAUAGCCUUUGGAAACGAAGAUUAAUACCCCAUAGUAAGUAUUUAUGGCAUCAUUUAUACUUUAAAGUUUCGGCGGUAUAAGAUGACUAUGCGUUCUAUUAGUUUGUUGGUAAGGUAACGGCUUACCAAGACUACGAUAGAUAGGGGUCCUGAGAGGGAGAUCCCCCACACUGGUACUGAGACACGGACCAG
rnacentral:rRNA from 1 species